rnacentral:rRNA from 1 species
UACGUAGGGCGCAAGCGUUGUCCGGAAUUAUUGGGCGUAAAGAGCUCGUAGGCGGCUUGUCACGUCGGGUGUGAAAGCCCGGGGCUUAACCCCGGGUCUGCAUUCGAUACGGGCUGGCUAGAGUGUGGUAGGGGAGAUCGGAAUUCCUGGUGUAGCGGUGAAAUGCGCAGAUAUCAGGAGGAACACCGGUGGCGAAGGCGGGUCUCUGGACCACAACUGACGCUGAGGCGCGAAAGCCAGGGGAGCAAACGGG